UACGUAGGCAGCGAGCGUUGUUCGGAAUUACUGGGCGCAAAGAGUGUGUAGGCGGAUUGCUAAGUACCUUGUGAAAUCCCACGGCUUAACCGUGGAACUGCUUGGUAUACUGGCUGUCUUGAGCCACUUAGGGGCAACCGGAACAAACGGUGGAGCGGUGAAAUGCGUAGAUAUCGUUUGGAACGCCAAUGGUGAAAACAGGUUGCUGGGAGUGUGCUGACGCUGAGACACGAAAGCCAGGGGAGCAAACGGG
rnacentral:rRNA from 1 species